UGUGAUGUGCCUGAAUAAAGGAUAAUUUUGAUAGAAUUAAUCAUGUACCCCCCCCGUACCAUCACAA
rnacentral:tRNA from 1 species